rnacentral:rRNA from 1 species
UACGUAGGGGCCUAGCGUUGUCCGGAAUUACUGGGCGUAAAGGGCGUGUAGGCGGGAAGGCAAGUCGGGCGUGAAAGCCCCAGGCUCAACCUGGGAACUGCACUCGAAACUGCCUUUCUUGAGUGCCGGAGAGGAAAGCGGAAUUCCUGGUGUAGAGGUGAAAUUCGUAGAUAUCAGGAGGAACACCAGUGGCGAAGGCGGCUUUCUGGACGGUAACUGACGCUGAGACGCGAAAGCGUGGGGAGCAAACAGG